rnacentral:tRNA from 1 species
GGAGGGAUACCCAAGCUGGCCAAAGGGGGCAGACUGUAAAUCUGUUGGCGAUGCCUUCGAAGGUUCGAAUCCUUCUCCCUCCACCA